AUGGAAGCAGAGUACAUUGCUGCGAAAGAAGCUGUAAAAGAUGGUGUUUGGUUGAGGAUCUUUCUGGUUUCUCUAGAGAUAGUUGAAAAUGCGUCUGAUCCGGUCACUGUUUAUUGUGAUAAUCAAGCUGCGAUUAAACUUUCCAAGGAUUCCAAGUUUGAUAGCAGGGCUAGACAUAUUGAGGGAAAGUACCAUUAUAUUAGAGAUGUAAUAAAUAGGCUGAAAACUGUUCGGCUUGCAUUUUUGCCUGGUAAUGAUAUGUUGGCAGAUCCACUGACUAAACCUCUUAGUCAGGAAUUGUUUUGCAAACAUGUCAGGAACAUGGGCCUUAGGAUUUUUGAUUGA
rnacentral:rRNA from 1 species